GAUGAAGAACGUAGCGAAAUGCGAUAAGUAAUGUGAAUUGCAGAAUUCAGUGAAUCAUCGAAUCUUUGAACGCACAUUGCGCCCGGCAGCAAUCUGCCGGGCAUGCCUGUCCGAGCGUCAUUUCUUCCCUCGAGCGCGGCUAGCCCUACGGGGCCUGCCGUCGCCCGGUGUUGGGGCUCUACGGGUGGGGCUCGUCCCCCCCGCAGUCCCCGAAAUGUAGUGGCGGUCCAGCCGCGACGCCCCCUGCGUAGUAGAUCCUACAUCUCGCAUCGGGUCCCGGCGAAGGCCAGCCGUCGAACCUUUUAUUUCAUGGUUUGACCUCGGAUCAGGUAGGGUUACCCGCUGAACUUAAGCAUAUCAAUAAGCGGAGGA
rnacentral:misc_RNA from 1 species